AUUGGUGUACACAUCGCCUCAAACAUUUAUCAUUUCUUUGAAUUGAACAAAUCCUCUCUCCCAGUGAUUUUGAAAUAUGCUAUUUAAUUGUUUUCAACCACGGUGUUACCCCACUGUGCAGUAGUGUUAGUUUUCGCUCCUAUCCAAGUGCUCUACUGUACAAAGUACUUCUGAAAGAAAGCUGUGCUAUCUUUGAAAAAUGCCCCCAACACACAAAGCUUGGCAUGUUUUCAAUGGGCUCAAGAACCAUCCUAGCCCAUUCCAUUUUAAGGAUUCUUGCCUUAAAUAAUUUCAGUGAGUUUUAUUGGUGAACAAGAGACGGUAGAAGAAGAAACACAGCCAGCAGUGACUUUGCCUCCAGCACACUGCAGAGCUUCUCUCUCUCGGGAAGAGAGGGGAUCGGGGUCGUCACAGUGCACCCAUCUCAUGGGCUGUUCCUGGGGGCCGUGCUCUGGAGCCCUGGAGACACAGCAGCAAAUCCUUCCAAGUCCAGGCCUCCUGGAGAACGCUGUCCACACAAGAAGCCAGAGUCACAGAAGCCAGUCUCCAGGAAGAGAUCUGGGGUUGGAGAGAAUGGAACUAACAAAGGUGCUGUACGUAUAAAAUCCCAGGGGCUGAAAUCAGAUGAAGUUGCAAAGCCCAGCUUAUCAACCCAGAAGCCGAGAUGCCACGCCACACAGACGUAUUUCAAGGACAAAUCCAAAGGCACAUAGGAGCCUAAACGGUUUGGGGUGAGUGGAAACAAUGACUGAAAAAACAAGACUUAACCCUGUCACUUAGGAGUGUGUUUAAAUUACAAACAUGAAAAGGAAAAAGAUAUAUUUGAUUCAAAAUCCAGAAGUUUCUUUUUUCCCAAAGGGAAGAAAAUUCUAGCAACUCGUCUCCCCUGAAAAGCAGGUGGCAGCCGUGUAUCUGACACAUACACAGAUGCUGCGCGAAACCCUUGGUUCUGCCGUGAGAGCGCAGAAAUAUAGGUAAGGUCGAGGGGACAACCGGACAACACACAAUGAUUCAAACUCAUCGCCUGAAACCAGUGGCUGCAUUGAAACACGGCCUCAGUGCUAGUUGCUUAGUAUUGCGUGCUCUGUAAGAUGAACGUGUUGCUCGUCCCGUAAGGUAAGAAUUCAUUUGAUUUGGUGAGAAUUCAGAAAUCUGAAUCCCAGCUGGGAAUCACGAAGCCCGAGCAGGAGCCUUCCCUCCGAGCCUGCUUCCUUGGCUGAGCCAGACAGUGAGGAGGGCGGCCCUCAGGCUUCCGUCUGGUCCGCGCUGGCAUCCUCUGGGGAUCUUCCCACACCCGGUCACCGGGCCUCCCGCGGUGUCCCCACCGGGAGGCCUGCGCCAGGGAGUGCAGAUUUCUGACGAGGCGAGGCCCGAUUUGGUGCCAGUGCUGUGGAGCACGUUUUGAGGUCCACUUCUCUAAACGAUUAGGAUUGAAAGAGGAUUAACCGUGAGAGAAGAAGUCAGUGACAGGUUCGCUUUUACUCUCACACUGCAAACCUUCUGUUAGAGGAUUGUACCCGUGUGUUCGCGGUGCUGCGCACACGCCCGGUGACGGUGUGGUUCGUGGUAAGCAACGUCUGUGUUGAUCUUUGCCAGGGGAAGCUUCCGUGCUGAUAUCUGCUGUCUGCUUCCUGACAGAGCUGCUGACCCCUGGGAAUGCUCGGGGCGACCGCCGUGUCCGCCGUUGGCGCCGGUGACCGACUCCCGGAUGCGCGCGGUCCCCGGAGAGGCUUGGCACCCGCAGCCCCAGCUCCACUCCCCGGGAGAGAAGCGGGCCUGCAGCGCGCGUUAGUAAUCCGCCG
ensembl:lincRNA